UGAGUAACGCGUGGGAAUCUACCUAGUUCUACGGAACAACAGAGGGAAACUUCUGCUAAUACCGUAUACGCCCUAAGGGGGAAAGAUUUAUCGGAAUUAGAUGAGCCCGCGUAAGAUUAGCUAGUUGGUGGGGUAAUGGCCUACCAAGGCGACGAUCUUUAGCUGGUCUGAGAGGAUGAUCAGCCACACUGGGACUGAGACACGGCCCAGACUCCUACGGGAGGCAGCACGUGGGGAAUAUUGGACAAUGGGCGCAAGCCUGAUCCAGCCAUGCCGCGUGAGUGAUGAAGGCCUUACGGCUUGUAUAAGCUCUUUCAGUCGGGGAAGCAUAAUGCGGUACCCACAGAAGAUAGCCCCGGCUAACUUCGUGCCA
rnacentral:rRNA from 1 species